rnacentral:rRNA from 1 species
AACUCCUAGCGGUGGAUCACUAGGCUCGAAG